GCUCAGUUGGUAGAGCAUGGUGUUUGCAAUGCCAGGGUUGUGGGUUCGAUUCCCAC
rfam:Salmo salar isolate Sally breed double haploid chromosome ssa04, whole genome shotgun sequence.